UACAGAGGGGGCAAGCGUUGUUCGGAAUUACUGGGCGUAAAGGGCGCGUAGGCGGCCCGCUAAGUCGAACGUGAAAUCCCUGGGCUCAACCCAGGAACUGCGUCCGAUACUGGCGGGCUUGAAUCCGGGAGAGGGAUGUGGAAUUCCAGGUGUAGCGGUGAAAUGCGUAGAUAUCUGGAGGAACACCGGUGGCGAAGGCGGGUCUCUGGGCCGAUACUGACGCUGAGGAGCGAAAGCGUGGGGAGCGAACAGG
rnacentral:rRNA from 1 species